CACCUGCGCCACCGGCUCGCGGAGGACCCGCAGGCGAGCGACUUCACCGUUUCGAGAAAGGGGCGCGGGGUGUGCAGGCCUACCCUACAGAGAAGCUCGGAGGACUACGAUCGGCGGUUCGCGCACAGAGAGGCGGCCGCGCAGCGGCGCCGCCCGGACCAGAGCCCACCACAGGCCGCCCCGGCCGGCCGGGCCUGGGCUUGACGGAGCCAGAGGCCGCGCCCCGCACCGGGCAUGCGCAGCUCCGCGCGCACCCGGAGAGGAGCCGAGGCCACGGCCGCGCGGCGAGCUGGCCCUCCCGCCUCAGCCUCCCCAUCCGGCCCCGACCCCCUCAACCGUCGGCCCUGAGCCCCACGCCUCAGCAGACGGCCACCGCUUCCCGGCACUCACCGCUACCAGCGCGGCGGGCUCUCGGCCGCUCCUUCGCCUCAGGCCCGCCCCUGCCGCCUCCACCUCAGCCCACCUGCCCGCCGUAGGACAAAGGCGCCACCAACCGACCGGCGCGGGCACGAGGCAAUGGCGGCCGGGGCGGAGAGUGGGGGCAGAGGGCGCGCACGCAGCGGCAGGCGCGGCAAUGUCGCAGGAAGAAGUUCACUUGACUACCUUUGACAGGAAGGAGGAAGAUUUCCUCCUCUCCCAGCAACAGCCCAGUGAAUGAGAAACUUCCACCACUCAGCCAAUGAGAAGCCAUUACCGCCCUGAACUGCUUUCCUCCAAGGGAAUUUUGUUCAGAGCAGCCAUCUCCAACUUUCUCCCUUUUCUCCGCAAAGUAAUAUUCUCCAGCUUUGUUCUCCAGACUCUCCCUUGGUUUGCCAUAGCUUGCAUGUCCCAAAUCAACUCUUCUGCAAUUCCAAAAUAAACUCAUUUUUCUGGGAAAA